GCGGCUUGUUGCGUCAGCUGUGAAAACCCGCAGCUCAACUGUGGGCUUGCAGCUGAUACGGGCAGGCUUGAGUUCGGUAGGGGAGACUGGAAUUCCUGGUGUAGCGGCGAAAUGCGCAGAUAUCAGGAGGAACACCGGUGGGGAAGGCGGGUCUCUGGGCCGAUACUGACGCUGAGGAGCGAAAGCGUGGGGAGCGAACAGGAUUAGAUACCCUGGUAGUCCACGCUGUAAACGUUGGGCGCUAGGUGUGGGGGGCCUCUCCGGUUCUCUGUGCCGCAGCUAACGCAUUAAGCGCCCCGCCUGGGGAGUACGGCCGCAAGGCUAAAACUCAAAGGAAUUGACGGGGGCCCGCACAAGCGGCGGAGCAUGCGGAUUAAUUCGAUGCAACGCGAAGAACCUUACCUGGGUUUGGCAUGGGCGCUGAAGCCGCAAAGAUGUGGUGUCCUUCGGGGGCGUUCACAGGUGGUGCAUGGCUGUCGUCAGCUCGUGUCGUGAGGUGUUGGGUUAAGUCCCGCAACGAGCGCAACCCUUGUUCGAUGUUGCCAGCGG
rnacentral:rRNA from 1 species